AGAGCGAACGCUGGCGGCAGGCUUAACACAUGCAAGUCGAACGGAUCCUUCGGGAUUAGUGGCGGACGGGUGAGUAACACGUGGGAACGUGCCUUUUGGUUCGGAACAACUCAGGGAAACUUGAGCUAAUACCGGAUGUGCCCUUCGGGGGAAAGAUUUAUCGCCAUUAGAGCGGCCCGCGUCUGAUUAGCUAGUUGGUGGGGUAAAGGCCUACCAAGGCUACGAUCAGUAGCUGGUCUGAGAGGAUGACCAGCCACACUGGAACUGAAACACGGUCCAGACUCCUACGGGAGGCAGCAGUGGGGAAUUUUGCGCAAUGGGGAAAGCCUGACGCAGCCAUGCCGCGUGAAUGAUGAAGGUCUUAGGAUUGUAAAAUUCUUUCAGCGGGACGAUAAUGACGGUACCCGCAGAAGAAGCCCCGGCUAACUUCGUGCCAGCAGCCGC
rnacentral:rRNA from 1 species